rnacentral:rRNA from 1 species
UGUAUAAUGGGUCAGCGACUUAUAUUCUGUAGCAAGGUUAACCGUAUAGGGGAGCCGAAGGGAAACCGAGUCUUAACUGGGCGUUAAGUUGCAGGGUAUAGACCCGAAACCCGGUGAUCUAGCCAUGGGCAGGUUGAAGGUUGGGUAACACUAACUGGAGGACCGAACCGACUAAUGUUGAAAAAUUAGCGGAUGACUUGUGGCUGGGGGUGAAAGGCCAAUCAAACCGGGAGAUAGCUGGUUCUCCCCGAAAGCUAUUUAGGUAGCGCCUCGUGAACUCAUCUUCGGGGGUAGAGCACUGUUUCGGCUAGGGGGCCAUCCCGGCUUACCAACCCGAUGCAAACUACGAAUACCGAAGAAUGUUAUCACGGGAGACACACGGCGGGUGCUAACGUCCGUCGUGAAGAGGGAAACAACCCAGACCGCCAGCUAAGGUCCCAAAGUCAUGGUUAAGUGGGAAACGAUGUGGGAAGGCACAGACAGCCAGGAUGUUGGCUUAGAAGCAGCCAUCAUUUAAAGAAAGCGUAAUAGCUCACUGGUCGAGUCGGCCUGCGCGGAAGAUGUAACGGGGCUAAACCAUGCACCGAAGCUGCGGCAGCGACACUUAGGUGUUGUUGGGUAGGGGAGCGUUCUGUAAGCCGUUGAAGGUGUGCUGUGAGGCAUGCUGGAGGUAUCAGAAGUGCGAAUGCUGACAUAAGUAACGAUAAAGCGGGUGAAAAGCCCGCUCGCCGGAAGACCAAGGGUUCCUGUCCAACGUUAAUCGGGGCAGGGUGAGUCGACCCCUAAGGCGAGGCCGAAAGGCGUAGUCGAUGGGAAACAGGUUAAUAUUCCUGUACUUGGUGUUACUGCGAAGGGGGGACGGAGAAGGCUAUGUUAGCCGGGCGACGGUUGUCCCGGUUUAAGCAUGUAGGCGGAGGUUCCAGGUAAAUCCGGUACCUUUUAACGCUGAGGUGUGAUGACGAGGCACUACGGUGCUGAAGUAACAAAUGCCCUGCUUCCAGGAAAA